rnacentral:rRNA from 1 species
UACGUAGGGGCUAGCGUUGUCCGGAAUCAUUGGGCGUAAAGAGCGCGUAGGCGGCCAGAUAAGUCCGGUGUGAAAGUCACAGGCUCAACCUGUGAAUGCCGCUGGAAACUGUCUGGCUAGAGUCCGGAAGGGGCGAGUGGAAUUCCUGGUGUAGCGGUGAAAUGCGCAGAUAUCAGGAGGAACACCGGUGGCGAAGGCGGAUCUCUGGGCCUUACCUGACGCUCAGGCGCGAAAGCUAGGGGAGCGAACUGG